rnacentral:lncRNA from 1 species
CUGCCCUGUGAGGAUGCAGCAAGAAAACCCUCACCAGAUGCCAGUGCCUUGAUCUUGGACUUCCCAGCCCCCAGAGCUGACUAGAUCGCUAGCUGGCCCUUUGAUUUAACUCUUCAUCUACCAUAUUGUGAAGAAACCAUGGAUUUUAGCAAUGAAAUUUUAUUGGGAUGAAUGACCAAAUGUAGGGGCUUAUAGAAUCAUCAAGCCGGAAAGAACCACAAGAGGUCAACACAGUUCACCUCCUUGCUUCUGGGACGGACUCCAUCAAAAGCGCACAGACAAAUUGGUGUCUGCUUCUAUUCACAGAGGGCUCAAGAAAGUGAUGCCACAUCUACCUGGAGUUGUUGGUCAUGUAAACUCUUCCUAAGCAGAUAGUUCUGGGAAUGACAUAGUCUGAGGAAUCAUAUAUUCUCAUUUGAUAAUUUUCAUAUUAGCCUUGUAUGAGUGUCUGAUUAUCAAAUAAUUGAGAAAUAAAACAUAUUUGAAACUAAUAUUGUCCUGAGUGUAAUUUAAUCAUUCGUGAUUCAAAAGGGAAUUCUUGACCUCAUUAGGAAUAAUGCUUGAACUGGAAAAAUAAGGAGGGCUGGUUAAAUUGAAAUUCACAAUUGAUAGAAUGCUACCUAAUGGAAGUUCUUCCUUAUAGCUGGUUUAAUGUCUUCCUGCUGCAAUUUAAGCUGGUUUUCUCUUACUUUAUCCUCUGUGGAGUGGGAAUAAACUCUGAUUACCAUCCCCUCCAUAACAAUCCUUUAUUCUUUUGAAGAGUUAUUAACUUCCCCUUCAGACUUCUCUUUUUAAGGCUAAA